CAAAUGCUUAUAUGUGAGGCUUGGAAAUAAGAAUCUGAGUACUUGUGAUUUUCAUGACCUUGCCUAAGGCAUUUAAUUUUUAGGCGGGAGGGAAGAGUGAUAACACCUUUAUUAAGGAGUAUGCAAUAAAAUGUUGGGGAGACAUUUUUUUCUUUUUUAUAUGUGUUGCUGUGCAUAUUGCUUCUUCAUAUGCAUCAGAGUGAUGAUCAACUUUUCUUUUUUUAAGUGCCUGAUUUACAGCAUAAUGCAUUAUUAGAAAGAGAGAAUGCAAGUAAGAACAAAGUAUUGUAAGUCUUGCAUUUCACAAAAGAAAUAUUUGAUGAAGUGCUUUUCAAAAAGCUAAAUUUUUGGCAGUUGAUCAAAGUAUAGCAUGGAAAUCCAUAUGGAAAAGGAAAUGUGAAUAGUUGUGUCCAGUUUCAUUCUGUGCUUUAGAAAAUGUAUAAAGAUGAAGUACAGGAUAUAAAGAAACUUCUAUGUGCACAUUUUGACUAAAAAUUGAUUUUGGGCACUCCUUGCUCAAUAUGCCGAUCCAAAUGGCCCCUUACUUCAUUGAAUCCAUGACUCCCUUUUCUUACUGACUACAUUAAUAAGAAGAGGGCAAUGACUGGAAUAGAAAUUAUAAACGUGUCUCUGAUCACAGUGAUGCAUAUGCAAGUACCAAAAGUCUAUCAGCUCUCAGCUGGUCUAAUUUUUGGUAUCUAUUUAGUUAGUCAUUUUGUUGGAUUUAUUAUAAGAAAAGGAACUGUUUGAAAACACAGGUUUUCUUUUACAAUGAGGAUAAUAACUGUGUUGAAUCUAAAUGUUGUUUCCCUUUGUAUGGAUUUUCUGCAGAAAGUAAAACUACUCUUAAAGGUUUGAAGUUAACUUCAAGUGGAAAUAAAGUUUAAAUAAAUUUUUGUUUCUUUUUAAAAAGAAUGAUUUUCUUCAUUUUUUGCAGAAUUUAUUUUGUUUUAUUUCAAAUUUGAGCCAAUGUCUUGUAUUUUAUUUAGUU